rnacentral:rRNA from 1 species
GACGAACGCUGGCGGCGUGCUUAACACAUGCAAGUCGAACGAAGAGCGAUGGAAGCUUGCUUCUAUCAAUCUUAGUGGCGAACGGGUGAGUAACGCGUAAUCAACCUGCCCUUCAGAGGGGGACAACAGUUGGAAACGACUGCUAAUGCCGCAUACGAUCUGACCUCGGCAUCGAGGAUAGAUGAAAGGUGGCCUCUAUUUAUAAGCUAUCACUGAAGGAGGGGAUUGCGUCUGAUUAGCUAGUUGGAGGGGUAACGGCCCACCAAGGCGAUGAUCAGUAGCCGGUCUGAGAGGAGGAACGGCCACAUUGGGACUGAGACACGGCCCAGACUCCUACGGGAGGCAGCAGUGGGGAAUCUUCCGCAAUGGACGAAAGUCUGACGGAGCAACGCCGCGUGAGGGAUGACGGCCUUCGGGUUGUAAAGCUCUGUUAAUCGGGACGAAAGGCCUUCUUGCGAAUAGUUAGAAGGAUUGACGGUACCGGAAUAGAAAGCCACGGCUAACUACGUG